rnacentral:SRP_RNA from 1 species
GGUGGCAUGGCAUGGAGCUAUAAUCUCAGUUGCUGGGAGUUGGAGGUUGGUGAAUCUCUGGUGCUCAGAAGGUUUGAGCUGCAAUGAACUAUGCUAAGUUCAGCAUCAAUAUGGUGAGUUUCAAGGAAUAGGGGACCAUCAGAUUCUCUGAGGAAGAACAAACUGGCCCAGUUGGGAAACUGAGUAGGUCAAAGCUUCCAUGCAGAUCAGUAGUGAGACUGGGUCUCAGUUUGAGAGACAGAGACAGAGAC